rnacentral:rRNA from 1 species
CUACGUGCCAGCAGCCGCGGUAAUACGUAGGUCCCGAGCGUUGUCCGGAUUUAUUGGGCGUAAAGCGAGCGCAGGCGGUUAGAUAAGUCUGAAGUUAAAGGCUGUGGCUUAACCAUAGUACGCUUUGGAAACUGUUUAACUUGAGUGCAAGAGGGGAGAGUGGAAUUCCAUGUGUAGCGGUGAAAUGCGUAGAUAUAUGGAGGAACACCGGUGGCGAAAGCGGCUCUCUGGCUUGUAACUGACGCUGAGGCUCGAAAGCGUGGGGAGCAAGCAGGAUUAGAUACCCUGGUAGUCCACGCCGUAAACGAUGAGUGCUAGGUGUUAGACCCUUUCCGGGGUUUAGUGCCGYAGCUAACGCAUUAAGCACUCCGCCUGGGGAGUACGACCGCAAGGUUGAAACUCAAAGGAAUUGACGGGGGCCCGCACAAGCGGUGGAGCAUGUGGUUUAAUUCGAAGCAACGCGAAGAACCUUACCAGGUCUUGACAUCCCUCUGACCGCUCUAGAGAUAGAGUUUUC